rnacentral:rRNA from 1 species
AACGAACGCUGGCGGCAUGCCUAACACAUGCAAGUCGAACGAGACCUUCGGGUCUAGUGGCGCACGGGUGCGUAACGCGUGGGAACCUGCCUUUAGGUUCGGAAUAACUCAGAGAAAUUUGCGCUAAUACCGGAUGAUGUCUUCGGACCAAAGAUUUAUCGCCUUUAGAUGGGCCCGCGUUGGAUUAGCUAGUUGGUGGGGUAAAAGCCUACCAAGGCGACGAUCCAUAGCUGGUCUGAGAGGAUGAUCAGCCACACUGGGACUGAGACACGGCCCAGACUCCUACGGGAGGCAGCAGUGGGGAAUAUUGGACGAUGGGCGAAAGCCUAAGCCAGCAAUGCCGCGUGAGUGAUGAAGGCCUUAGGGUUGUAAAGCUCUUUUACCCGAGAUGAUAAUGACAGUAUCGGGAGAAUAAGCGCCGGCUAACUCCGUG